GGCUGCAUCAAACUAGAGAGAGCACGACGCCCGCGUUAGCCCGCGAGCUAACCAGUGACGUCAAACACGAACCAAACUUGAACGGUUAUUCUUUUUUUUAAGGGGGGAAAAAUGGUGAAACAGACGAUACAGAUAUUUGGUCGCAUUAAACCCUCUAAGAAAACUACAGGGCUUUUCUCCUCUCCCCUGGGGCGACGCUGAGCGGAGGUGAUAUUGCAGAGCUUGACCGGUGUACUCGGUGGACAACGAGGAGCCAACAGGUGCUUCUUUGGAGUUUCUGGUGCCCAGGGAUGUGGCUGAGGGCUUUGUUAACAACAAGAGGGAGUGCUACAAGUUCAGAUUCCUAAAGGUGUUUGAUCAAGCUGUCCAACAAGAAGAGAUAUUUAAUAACAUUGCCAAACCAGUUGCCGACAGGUACAGUCUUAUUGUACUUCUCAAAAUGACAAAUGUAAAUACAGGUUUAUAUUAAUGCCACGUACAUUUUGAAAGUUGAUGUCUUUAAACUCUUUGUCACCCCUUAAAACUACCUACUUUGAUUAUCCCAUUCACAAAUCCCUGCCCACCUGUGGCCAGCAGCGCUCAGCUCUCCAUGCUGAGCUCAGGGCCACACAGGCUUUUUAAGCGUCCUUGUUGACAGGAAGUUAGUAAAGCUCAGCUUUCUUUUAAGAUGGAAAUGGAGGGUGUCUGUGAUUUUUGGCGUGCUUUGCAUACUUUAACCACUAAGUGGACCGAGCUGGCAGGCGAGAUGGCACACUGUGCCAUCGUGAGUGUGAGAACAUUUCCAAGCCACAACACAAAGCUAUGUUGUAGCUGCUCACUCAUUUUGAGCUGUUGUUUCAUCCGUCAUGCAUGAGGAUCACAUUCAUUAGAGUAACCUGCAGAAAACUUUGGCCCUCAAGAUCAACACUACAAGUCUUUUGUUAGUACUGUUCAAUUUAGGGAAAUAGGGGUUCAUCUAGGCCUGUUUUUAAAUGUAAAAAUGUGAAAUAUAUUUUAGAUACUGAUAUGCCAGAUAUAUCUGGAUGACUUUAUUUGUAAAAGGCAGAAUGAGAAAGUUUUUGCUGAAAACAAAUAAGAUAAUUAAUCCCCCUCCAUCAUCACUUAUGACCCACCAGAAGUGUGUGGAGGUGUGUGUAUCUGCAGAGAGACCCUGCCCUCUGCCUGCCUUAUUUUGCCGUGUUCGGCACGUUUCUGGUCGUCUGCCCUUAAAAAUGUAGUGACCAGGUAUCAGAUCACAAGCACACAUCCAAGGGGAAGCUGCAAAAAUAACUAACACAGAUAUAGUGAGGCGAACCACCAGGCAGAGAAAGCUCGUUCAAAAACGAGAGUUAAUCCGGGAUUGGCUUUAACACAUUAAACCCUAAGGCAGGGGUCUUCAAUGUUUUUCAGGCCAAGGACCCCCAAACUGAUAGAGAGAUGGAGCAGGGACCCCCGACUAUAUAUAUAUUGUAUAAAAUUGUGUUUUAUAUUAAAUGGGCGUAGUACCGUGUAUACUUCAUUGUGCAUUCAAUACUAAGCUAUUCAAAUAAUACACAGGUUCAUAUAUUCAUGCUUUUCUUUUA